rnacentral:misc_RNA from 1 species
AAGUCGUAACAAGGUUUCCGUAGGUGAACCUGCGGAAGGAUCAUUACAACGUAUCCACGUACAAACCAAAUCUGUGAACUCGUUUCCCUUUGGAGCGGCAAUUGCAAACUGAAUCAGCUUUCCUAUGUGUGACGAGAACGCGCAAGUGUUCUGGAACUGAUUCGGGCUGCUCUAAAGUGGUUUUCCAACGUCACUUUUUAACUAUAAACCCUUUGAACCUUUUAAACUUGAACUGAACUGAAAGCAAGUCUCUUUAUUGAGGCUACUUUCUUUCAUAUUACGAAACAAAAAACAACUCUUAACAACGGAUAUCUUGGUUCUC